rnacentral:rRNA from 1 species
GUAGGCAGCGAGCGUUGUUCGGAGUUACUGGGCGUAAAGAGUGCGUAGGCGGUUUUCUAAGUUUGGUGUGAAAUCUCCCGGCUUAACUGGGAGGGUGCGCCGAAGACUGGAAGGCUUGAGUAUGGGAGAGGUAAGCGGAAUUCCUGGUGUAGCGGUGAAAUGCGUAGAUAUCAGGAGGAACACCUGCGGUGUAGACGGCUUACUGGACCAUAACUGACGCUGAGGCACGAAAGCGUGGGUAGCAAACAGGAUUAGAUACCCUGGUAGUCCACGCCCUAAACGAUGCAUACUUGGUGUGGGUAGUUCAUUCUAUCCGUGCCGGAGCUAACGCGUUAAGUAUGCCGCCUGGGGAGUACGGUCGCAAGGCUG